rnacentral:rRNA from 1 species
AUGAACGCUAGCGGCAGGCCUAACACAUGCAAGUCGAGGGGCAGCACGUUAAAGAGUUUACUCUUUAUGGUGGCGACCGGCGGACGGGUGCGUAACGCGUAUGCAACCUGCCUGACACAGGGGGAUAAUCCGAAGAAAUUUGGUCUAAUACCCCAUAAUACCGAUAUAGGCAUCUAUGUUGGUUGAAAGCUUUGGUGGUGUCAGAUGGGCAUGCGUUGUAUUAGCUAGUUGGUGAGGUAACGGCUCACCAAGGCGACGAUACAUAGGGGGACUGAGAGGUUAACCCCCCACACUGGUACUGAGACACGGACCAGACUCCUACGGGAGGCAGCAGUGAGGAAUAUUGGUCAAUGGGCGGAAGCCUGAACCAGCCAUGCCGCGUGCAGGAAGACGGCUCUAUGAGUUGUAAACUGCUUUUGUACUAGGGUAAUUUGCGGUACGUGUACCGUAUUGAAAGUAUAGUACGAAUAAGGAUCGGCUAACUCCGUGCCAGCAGCCGCGGUAAUACGGAGGAUCCAAGCGUUAUCCGGAUUUAUUGGGUUUAAAGGGUGCGUAGGCGGCAGAUUAAGUUAGAGGUGAAAUUCCGAGGCUCAACCUUGGCACUGCCUCUGAUACUGGUUUGCUAGCGAGUAGAUGCUGUAGGCGGAAUGUGUGGUGUAGCGGUGAAAUGCAUAGAGAUCACACAGAACACCGAUUGCGAAGGCAGCUUACAAAUCUAUAUCGGACGCUGAGGCACGAAAGCGUGGGGAGCAAACAGGAUUAGAUACCCUGGUAGUCCACGCAGUAAACGAUGAUAACUCGUUGUCGGCGAUAUACAGUCGGUGACCAAGCGAAAGCGAUAAGUUAUCCACCUGGGGAGUACGUUCGCAAGAAUGAAACUCAAAGGAAUUGACGGGGGCCCGCACAAGCGGAGGAACAUGUGGUUUAAUUCGAUGAUACGCGAGGAACCUUACCCGGGCUUGAAAGUUAGUGACGGAUGCCGAAAGGUGUCUUCCCUUCGGGGCACGAAACUAGGUGCUGCAUGGUUGUCGUCAGCUCGUGUUGUGAAAUGUUGGGUUAAGUCCCGCAACGAGCGCAACCCUUAUCCUUUGUUGCCAGCGGUCCGGCCGGGAACUCAAAGGAGACUGCCAGUGAUAAACUGGAGGAAGGUGGGGAUGACGUCAAAUCAGCACGGCCCUUACGUCCGGGGCGACACACGUGUUACAAUGGUCGGUACAGAGGGCAGCUACCUGGUGACAGGAUGCGAAUCUCGAAAGCCGGUCUCAGUUCGGAUUGGAGGCUGAAACUCGCCUCCAUGAAGUUGGAUUCGCUAGUAAUCGCGCAUCAGCCAUGGCGCGGUGAAUACGUUCCCGGGCCUUGUACACACCGCCCGUCAAGCCAUGGGAGUCGGGGGUGCCUGAAGUACGUUACCGCGAGGAGCGUCCUAGGGCAAAACUGAUGACUGGGGCU